rnacentral:lncRNA from 1 species
AAAGUUCAGGGACCAAGGUGCAAUUAUCCAAAAGUUGACUCGAUGAACAAAUCGAGAAAUUGAUUAAGCCAAUUACCAAUUGAUGAUAUCUUGGGAUGAUGGAAUCGAAAGAAUGAAGAAAUGAUGUCAAGAAGUGAAGGAUUCAAGUAGGAUGACCAAAAUGAACACCUUUCAUAGUUGGUAGACUGCAUACUGCUACCCUCUAUGCGGUCGCAUAGAGCCAAACCGAACUUAAAAUGACAGAAUUUUUACUCUAUGCGACCGCAUAGAGUUGCUCUAUGCGGUCACAUAGAGCAAUUCUCAGGUAAAAUUGCAGUUUCCUUUUUCCGCCAAAACUCUUAUGGAAACAAUAUUUUUAGGGUCCUAUAUAAACAAAAACUUGACCAGAAUGAAGGGGAUGCCAUUUUUACAAGUUUUUGAGAGAUUUUGAAGGAGAAACGUGGAGAGAACAAGAGGACAACAUCGCGUCAAGUGAAGAUUGAUUCGGGUGAUGACGUUUCUUCAGCUAUUUUUAUGUUUUCUUCUUUUUAGCAUUUAGGCUAGAUUUUUCAUUGCUAGGAGAUCGACGAACCUUGUAAUACUACGUUUGAUUUUUUAUUUGGAUAUUUGACAUCUUUAAAUGCAUAUUCCGGAAUUGAAUGGUUUAUUACGUUUUUAUUUUCAUAUGAUUAUUGCGCACGUAAUUAUGUGAUUGUGGUGGCCUGUUUUAUACAUUCGAAAGAAGGAAAAUAAGUUCGACAUAGUAUAAAUGAUCAUAGGGUCCGAUAGGGAAUAGAAAUAUACCUCUAUCCACUUACAUCAGUGAAAGGUGUUCGUAGUUUCCUUGGGCAUGCCGGGUUCUACAGAAGGUUCAUCAAGGAUUUCUCAAAGAUUACUAAACCACUAUGCUGUUUGUUGAUGAAGGAAUUCACAUUUGAGUUCACGGAUGAGUGUCUGCUGGCUUUUAACACCUUGAAAGAGAAGUUGAUUUCAGCACCCGUGAUCAUCACACCGAAUUGGAAUCUGCCAUUUGAAUUAAUGUGCGACACCAGUGAUUUUGCUAUUGGGGCCAUAUUGGGAUAACGAAGAAAUAAGAUAUUUCACGUGAUCUACUAUGCAAGCAAGAUAUUGAACGACACUCAACUAAAUUAUGCCACUACAGAGAAAGAGCUCCUUGCCGUAGUCUACGCCUUUGACAAAUUUCGAUUAUUCCUUGUGGGGUCAAAGGUCAUUGUUUAUAGAGAUCACGCUGCUAUCAAGUACUUAAUGAAAAAGAAGGAUGCAAAGUCAUGUCUCAUUCGUUGGACACUGUUGCUUCAAGAGUUUGACUUGGAAAUCAGGGAUAAGAAGGGUAGUGAAAACGUGGUGGCAGACCACUUGUCUCAACUCGAGGCAACAGAAUAGACAGAGACAGUGGAAAUCAACGAAGUCUUCCCAGAUGAACAGAUUUUUGGUGUGGGUAAAGCACCCUGGUAUGCGGACAUAGUUAACUACUUAGCCAGGUCUAUCAUGCCGCCAAAUUACUCAAGUCACCAAAAGAAGAAAUUUUUCACUGAAUUGAAGUAUUAUUUUUGGGAGGACCCCAUUCUAUACUGGCGGGGGCCUGAUCAAAUUGUUCAUCGCUGCGUAUCUGAGGAAGAAGUGCCUUUGAUAUUAAAACAUUGUCAUUCAUCUAAAUAUGCAGGGCAUUUUGGUGCUUCAAAAACAACGACGAAGAUCCUUCAGUCAGGUUUUUACUGGCCUACUCUGUUUAAGGAUGCUUUUGAAUUUGUGAAAAUGUGUGACCGAUGUCAACGCACUAGUAAUAUAUCCAGGAGAAAUAAAAUGCCUUUGAACAGUAUCCUAGAGGUGGAACUAUUCGACGUCUGGGGGAUCGACUUCAUGGGGCCAUUUCCCCCAUCCUUCUCUAAUCAGUAUAUAUUAGUGGCUGUGGAUUACGUAUUGAAGUGGGUAGAGGCUGUUGCAUUGCCUACCAACGAUGGGAAGGUGGUGAUUGAGUUUCUAAAGAAAAAUAUUUUUACCCGCUUCGGCACACUAAUGGCUAUAAUCAGUGACGGGGGCAAACAUUUCUGCAAUCGCCAGUUUGAACAAUUGUUGACUAAAUAUGGCGUUAAACAUCGUGUAGCCACUGUAUAUCAUCCCCAAACCAGCGGACAGGUUGAAGUGUCCAAUAGGCAAUUGAAGAGAAUACUCGAAGUCAUAGUAAGAUCGUCACGAAAAGAUUGGUCUAAGAAACUGGACGACACCUUGUGGGCCUAUAGGACUGCAUUCAAGACCCCUAUAGGAAUGUCACCAUAUCGACUGGUUUUCGGGAAGGCAUGCCACUUACCUCUUGAGAUAGAACACCAUGCUUACUGGGCAAUGAAGAAAUUGAAUUUGGACUUGAAUGCUGCAAGUGAAAAACGUCUACUACAACUUAAUGAGCUGGAUGAGCUCAUAAUGGAAGCCUACGAGAAUUCAAGACUCUACAAAGAACGCACCAAGAAAUGGCAUGAUAUGCAUACGGUGGGGGUAAAAAGUGCUACUCUACAACUCUAGGCUUAAACUGUUUCCAAAAAAGCUGCGAUCGAGAUGGUCUGGUUCGUAUACUAUUACACAGGUAUUUCCACAUGGGGCAGUGGAGAUCACUCACGACAGUAAGGGGACAUUCAAGAUCAAUGGACAGCAUUUGAAGCACAAUUGGGGCGGCAAUUUUUCAAAGGAAAAGUCUACCAUUCAUCUUAAACCAUCAGAAUGACGCAAUACGAUAAAGUGGAGCUAUCGACUAUAACCUAACGCUAGGUGGGAGGCAACCCACUGUAUCCUUCUAUUUAGCUUACUUUUCACAUUAUUUUUAGAUUUGUUUAAUUUUUGCAUAUACAUUUUUCUAGGUCAUCGUUCAUACAUACAUGUUAAUAGGAUCAAAUUAUCGUCCCCAUAACUUUAUAGGCAUUACACACAUGGUCGGGGAGUUUGAAAUGAUUUUGAGUGUUUGGGAGUAUGAUUCGCGCAUUUCUAGAUAAAAGAAAGUUUUUUUUUUAUUAUAAAAAAAAUUUUACGAGGGAAAUAUCUUUUUGUUUUUCAGUAUGUUAGAAAAAAAAAAUAAUAAUAAAUAAAAAUAAUUUUGGUUUAUGCGAUUGCAUAGACACCUACCGAACAUCAAAUGGGGGCAAUUUUCAUUACUAUGCGACCGCAUAGUAGACCUCGGUCAUGAUUUUAAACCAUGAUCGAGCCAUUUCCUCCCCCAUAUUUACAUCACGCUCUUCAAACUUCUCACACCACACUCCCACACGAAUCACACCCAUCCUUCACUGCAUUCUCUCCCCCAUUGAUACCAUCAAUCGGCACUCCUCACAUCCAUAGUGAUUUCAAGGUACGUUAUUUGUCCUUUUUCCUCUAUUCAUUUUUUUCCCUUUCAUUUGGUUCGUAAUGAGCAACAAACAUUUUUGGGCUUGAGUGUAGAGAAUGGGCAAUAGAUAGUCGAUGGAGUUGUGUAUUUUGAACUUAAAUUGUGUUGUGGAUUGGUGGGACAUUUUUAAAUUUGAAUUUUGUAGGGUUUACAAUUAAUGACUAUUAAAUGUUCGAUAAAAUGCCUAAUUGAGCUUUGUGGUGCAUUAUGUGGAAUCCCGCAUUUGAUAAUCUAAAUAUGUACACUACCAUGCACAUUGCGAUCAAAUGCCAUAAAAAUUGAGCUCGAAACACUUACGUACCAACCACACACGUAGGCACACGUGCUAGGCUCACGUCACUUCACAACACCCAUUUCGUCCCUUGCGUUAAGUACCCAUACAACAUCCAAUGAGCUUGAAAUUUGAAUAUGUGCCACUCCACACUAUAUACUUUCAUAUGCCCGGAGGUUGCUCGGGAAAAUUUUGAGUUUUCUCAAUGAUGUCCGGGGUGAAAGUGCUCACUUACUCACGGGUCCCUUGACACAUUUUUGGAUGUUUUGAACUUCAUUUGGUGUGUGUAUUGUUAUUUUGCCUUCCUUUUAUGUUCUUGAGCAUGUUUUCUUGAAGUUUGCAUAUGCCACAUUCAUAAACACAUAUAAAACAUCACAUCCAUUUUGCAAGACGUAGGCACAUGGCUAGGUCAGGGCAUGUCACGGCACCCUACGUCCCCUACUUUACACUAUUAUAUGGCAUACCAAACGAAGUCCAUUUGCUUUGAAAUUUGAAUAUAUGGUAAAUCUCAUUGAAUACUUUCAUAUGCCUAGAGAUUUCCUUGGGAAAUUUCGAUAUUUUUUGAUGAUGUCCGGGGCUGAACAUUCGCACUCGAUCAUGGGUCCAAUUUUUCAAAUGCGCUUAUUUCAGCCUAAAUUUCCAAUUUUUCAUAUUGGUACACUAUUCACAUCACUUUGAAUGUCAUGUUUUUCUGAAUGCACACCAAGAAGUUCAAUAUGCAUGUUGAAGCAAGUUUGGGGGAUUUGUGAAAUACAUAUCUUGCUAAUCUCAUUCCCCCUCUCGUUUUUUUCAAAAUGAAGUUUAAUGAAUGCUAUUCUUUUACCUUUGCAGGAUGCCUCCAAAAAGAACAUCAAAAGGAAAGGAGAAGGUUGGUUCUACAUCUGGCACAGCCCGGACUAGGGAGCCCGAAGGAGGUGUCAGGCAUUUUCUAUCUUCAGACCAAGCAACCCGUUACGCCAAUGUUGUUCGUGAGUGAGCUCUCAUCCUCGAAAGUCUAGUUAAGUUGGAUGAUUUCCCGGGUUUUAAAUUGGUGUAUUUAAUCCACAACUGUGGUUGGGAGAAAGUGAUUGAAAACCCACACCCCCUCUAUGAAAAUUUGGUACGGGAAUUCUAUGCAAACUUCAAUGCUGAAAUAGACACACCUGGAUCCGAUCAUCUGCAUCAAACAUGGGUUCGGGGCAAAUGGAUCCUGUUUUCACCUGAAGUUAUUCAUGACUACUAUCAGCUUACCUGGACUAAUGUGGUCACAGUCCCGCAUGAUUUCAACUGGGUUGAAGUUGCAGAGGUUUUAUUAGGACGUGACAAUGCUUGACGUCUCCCUAAUGCUGAUUGGUACCAGAUUGACCUCACUCCUUCUAUAGCCAUCGUAUGGUUGUUUAUCUGUCGAACAUCAAGUCCAUCUCGCAUAGGACGACAUUCACAAAUCAGAAGGCGAGGUUCAUCUAUCACUUAGUUCGGGGCAACAAGAUUGACUUGGCUACUUACAUUUACAACUAGAUACACAUUACAGGCGCUUGGGGAGACAAGCACACCUCACUGAUUUUCCCGAGCUUGAUAAGUGGGGUUUGUAGAGCUGCUGGGGAGGCAUCGGAGAAAUCAAGUCCAUUUAUCAAGCGCCUCACACUCAAGGCCCAGGAUCGGGCCAGAAUUAAACAUCAACAGAAAUUGAAAAACGAGCGCCGACGACGACAACAGGCUGAAGAAGGGCAAGCAGCCGAGGACUUUGAAAUGUCACAAGCUCCACCACCACCGGCUGACAUGGACACACAGUUAUUGAGGCAGAUGUUUGCCACUAUGACUGGACACAGUCAAGACAUGCAGCAGCUUCAACACUCCUUUGGAGCACCGAGUACCACCAUCCAGCAGGUGUAGACGGAUAUGGCAUCCGCACGAAACUUCACUUCCACUGCUAGUAGUGAGUCUCUCGCGGCACACCGACAGAUGAGUACCUUUGAUGGGCGAUUGGGUAUGCACGCUGGCAGAAUGGAUGGUAUACAGUGGCGGGUAAAUGAGACUUAGGACCGUCUUGGAAGUUUGGAGACAAGGGUACAGGCCAUGCAGGUGGAGCAGACCCAGCAGUCUGCCAUAUGGCGAGAGAUUUUAGCCCGCCUACCGUCCCCUCUUGGAGAUGAUGUUGCCAGACCCAGCUUUCCUUCGCAACCACCAUUUUGAUCAGGGGAGUACUGUUUACCCCAUUUUGAUUUUUCUUCUUCAUUUUGUCCUUAAAAUUAUGUUUUUAAUCUUUUGUUAAUCUUAAUUGAGGACAAUGUAUUAACUAAGUUUGGGGAGGGUGACAUAAUUUUAAAUCUCUAUCUGUGUUCAUCAUUAUUUAUUUUUCACUGAUUUACAUUACUACAUAAUGUGUGCAUGAUGAGUGUUGUAAAAAAAUUGUAUUUUAUUCAGUUUGUUUUAAAUUCUCUUUAUGCAUGCUUGUGUGAAUUUGAUAACCUUAUUAGCUAUGAUGAUAUUAUUGAACUAGUGUAAACUACAAAACUUUGGAUCUGGUGUUAAUUAGACCAACUGAUACUUGUGGAUGCAACACUUGACAUUAUCUAUGCAUGCUAUUCAUGCUUGACAUAUUAGGAGAAUGAUUGAAUUCUGAGCAUAAAGCAAGAAAAGAAUGAUAACCCUCUAUUGAAUUAACCCAUAAACUAUCUUAAGACAGUUUGGUGAUAGUUUAGCUAUUAUAUGAAAGCACUGAGAUGAGCGAAAGCUCCGUGCAUGAAACUUAUUGAUGUGGAUUGCCUAGACUAGUGGGAUGAAAAGUAGGUGAAAAUCUUAAAUUGGGGGUUGGUUUUGGAAACUAAAUGUCUAGAAAAAUAACAAAGGGCACAAAAUUAAUAUGUGAGAAUAAAACACUUCUUUUCAUGCCUUUAGGACUCAAGCAAGUAAGCCUGUAAGGAUAUUUCAAAAUCUGGUGCCUCAAAAACCAACUGGCCUGGGAGUCACCGGCCCAAAGCUCGGUACAUGGGUCAUAUAGAAAGCAAGAGGGAAAGAAGUUAAUAAAAAGUCAUCUUAUUGAGCAUUUAUAACUCGAGUGAAUAAGCCUGCAAAGGUUUAAAACCUGGUACCCUAAAGCCAACUGGUUUGGGAAUCACCGGCCUAAAGCUUGUUACAUGGAUUAUAUAGAAAGCAAAAGAGAAGAUGACAAUCAAUUAGAAAUUAAAGAAAUGGAAGAAAAACAAAAUAGAGACAAUAACAUGACGAAAAGCCCUUAGACAUUUGGUUGAAAAGACUAUACCUCUGAAGGAGGCAAGUAACCUAGUUUAAUCUUGAGUGUCGAAGCAAUCAAAUUUAGGAGAGCCUUCUCUUUUUGAAAUGUAAACUUGUGAUAGUAAGGCUAAAUCCAAACUAUAACGGGGUGAGGACUACCGCUAUAUAAAUUCCUAAUAUUAAAACACAACCCCGGGAUAAUUGAGCAAAAAGAAUAAAUUUGGGGGGUUGUGUAUCUCUCGAGCGAGUAAGAAUACAUUUGACCACUUGGGGUCGGGACUCAAAUUCAUCAUGAACCUGAUAUGUUGGCAUGAAUUCACACACACACACACUUCAAUUUGCAUUUAACAGGUAAAUGUUGGUGUCUUGUUUGCACUAAUAAAUUUUCAUAAAGUCAAAUACAUAGUCCAAUCCUGAGUCACAACAGGGUAUUAAGCCAUGUUUGCUCAGAAUUAAGUCACAAUCUUUUUUGAGGACAAACAAUAGUUCAAGUUUGGGGGUUUGAUAAGUGUGUUUUUGCACACUUAUUUAGGUCACAAACAUGAUUGAAUAACAAGCAAAAUGAUUGAAUUAUGACUUAAUUUUGUUACAUUUUUGAAUUGUAGGGAACAACGAUGAACAUGGUGAAAUUCAGGAAAAAGACGCAAAAAAGGACUAAAAUGACGCAAAGUGAAAGUUCAGGGACCAAGGUGCAAUUAUCCAAAAGUUGACCCAAUGAACAAAUCGAGAAAUUGAUUAAGCCAAUUGCCAAUUGAUGAUAUCUUGGGAUGAUGGAAUGGAAAGAAUAAAGAAAGGAUGCCAAAAAGUGAAGGAUUCAAUUAGGAGGACCAAAAUGAACACCUUUCAUAGUUGGUAGACUGCAUACUUCUGCCCUCUAUGCGGUCGCAUAGAGCCAAACCGAACUUAAAAUGACAGAAUUUUUACUCUAUGCGACCGCAUAGAGUUGCUCUAUGCGGUCACAUAGAGCAAUUCUCGGGUAAAAUUGCAGUUUCCUUUUUCCGCCAAAACUCUUAUGGAAACAAUAUUUUUAGGGUCCUAUAUAAACAAAAGCUUGACCAGAAUGAAGGGGACGCCAUUUUUACAAGGUAUAUAUGCAAAGUGUAACUACACCAUAUAUAACAAUGUGUAUUUUUGUAUAUUUUCCUUAAUUAUAUAAAAUCAUAAAAACUUUAC